rnacentral:rRNA from 1 species
CUACGGGGGGGCAGCAGUGGGGAAUCUUGCACAAUGGAGGAAACUCUGAUGCAGCGAUGCCGCGUGAGUGAAGAAGGCCCUUGGGUUGUAAAGCUCUUUUGUCGGGAAAGAUAAUGACUGUACCCGAAGAAUAAGGUCCGGCUAACUUCGUGCCAGCAGCACGCGGUAAUACGAAGGGACCUAGCGUAAUUCGGAAUUACUGGGCGUAAAGCGCGCGUAGGCGGUUAAGUAAGUUAAUUGUGAAAGCCCAAAGCUCAACUUUGGAAUUGCAAUUAAAACUACUUAGCUAGAGUUUAUCAGAGGAAAGCGGAAUACAUAGUGUAGAGGUGAAAUUCGUAGAUAUUAUGUAGAACACCAGUUGCGAAGGCGGCUCUCUGGGAUAACACUGACGCUGAGGUGCGAAAGUAUGGGUAGCGAAGAGGAUUAGAUACCCCCGUAGUC